GUAAGCCCAAGAGGUGCAGGAUGAAAUCUGAAUUUUACUGUGACCUGUGUGCCUGCCCAGUGGAGAGUGGAGUGUGUCUGUCACCAUGUGCAGAUGUUGAGAAGGUUCUUGGAAACCUGGGUUUGGACGUGGCGUGGAGGUCUGGGCUAGAGAUGAAGAUGAGAAGUUGUCGAUAGAGAGAUGAUAACUGCGGCUGUGGAUGAGAAGAAGCUUGCCCAGGGCGAAGAAUGUGGAGAGAGAAGAGAGAUGGCCCAGGACGAAGGUUUGAGUGGGAGGCAAGGUCUUCUGCUGAGAGUGAAGAAGAGGUGGUGAGGAGUUUGAAAGAAGGA